CCCUCUUUCAUUUUCAAAAAAAAAAACAGAGAAUCAUCGGUCUCUCUUCUCGGCAUUUCCCCCUAACAUCCGGCCAAGUUUUGAGCCGUGGCGCCGCCAUAGCGGUUGCCGACGAUACGCAAAUGGGGCUAUUUUGAGCUCCGUUUUGAACCCCGUUCAAAGGCCACUUUUUCUGGCCCGAUGGCCACCAGACAAGGCCUUUCACUCCGUCCCUUUAGAGCCGAUUUCGGUGACGGAGAGACCUCCGACGAUGCGGCUGAGGGUUUGAGGUGUCAGACGAGCAUGGUGAAGUGCGGCGGCGGCGAGCGGGGAGUUGGAGCGGCGCCCAAGGGCAGGGGCGUGCAUGCGGCGCUGGAGAGGGUUAGGUUUUGCUCCCUUUGCUGCUGAAAGUUUUUGUUGUGGGCUAUUUGGGCUUUAAGUUUUUUUUUGAUUUAUUUGGGCUAUAAUUGUUUGGGUUUAUUUUUUGUAAUUGGACUGUUGGGCCCGGGCAGAUUUUGGGCUUUACACUACUCUUUUAACCAUUUCUCUUCCUUCUUAACUUUUAAUUAUAUCUAUUUAUUCAUUUA